CCUACGGGUGGCAGCAGUGAGGAAUAUUGGUCAAUGGACGCAAGUCUGAACCAGCCAUGCCGCGUGAAGGAUGAAGGCCUUCUGGGUUGUAAACUUCUUUUACCUGGGAAGAAAAGUACGGUUUCUACUGUAUUCGACGGUACCAGAGGAAUAAGCACCGGCUAACUCCGUGCCAGCAGCCGCGGUAAUACGGAGGGUGCAAGCGUUAUCCGGAUUUACUGGGUUUAAAGGGUGUGUAGGCGGGCUAUUAAGUCAGUGGUGAAAUCUCCGGGCUCAACCUGGAAACUGCCAUUGAUACUAUUAGUCUUGAAUUCUGUUGAGGUAGGCGGAAUAUGUCAUGUAGCGGUGAAAUGCUUAGAUAUGACAUAGAACACCGAUUGCGAAGGCAGCUUACUAAACAGAUAUUGACGCUGAGGCACGAAAGCGUGGGGAUCAAACAGGAUUAGAUACCCGGGUAGUC
rnacentral:rRNA from 1 species